UACGAGAGGCCCAAACGUUAUUCGGAAUUACUGGGCUUAAAGAGUCCGUAGGCGGCGCAGCAAGUAGGGUGUGAAAGCCCUCGGCUCAACCGAGGAAUUGCGCUCUAAACUACUGUGCUUGAGGAACCUAGAGGUGAGCGGAACUGAUGGUGGAGCGGUGAAAUGCGUUGAUAUCAUCAGGAACACCGGAGGCGAAGGCGGCUCACUGGGGGUUUUCUGACGCUGAGGGACGAAAGCCAGGGGAGCGAACGGG
rnacentral:rRNA from 1 species